rnacentral:lncRNA from 1 species
CCAGACCAAUAGGCCUGGAUUUCGGAUUCCCAGGCUGCUAUCCCAAUGGCCCAAGAGCCGGACAAGGAUGACAUCAUCCGGCCUCAGACCAAGGGUGUGGAACCUCAGGAGGACGAUGAUGUCACUGCCCCAAGGUCCCCAUGUCUAGGGGGCGGGGCCCUGAUGUCGGUGGGAGAAGCCUCAUUCCUGAUGGGCAACAGCGCUGUACCACCUUGUGACAAUCCCGUGCUGACCCCAGGUCCCGCCCCUCGCUGCUGUAACUCACGCCCCUCUUCAUUUGCAUAAAUGUGAAUUUGUUAAUCAGGA